GUGCCCUUGGUGUACGGUAACACAUGUCUUCAUGGUAUCAUCUCGUGGUUAUCCAGGUACCUAAUUCAAGACGAGUCCGGGGUUCGACUCCCCAAGGGCGUA